rnacentral:rRNA from 1 species
CGGAGGCCCCCGGCCCUCCCGGGGCACGGAGAUUUUUUUAAAAAGGACUUUUGGCAAGCCCCCGGGUGUAAGAAUUUGUUGGAAAUAAGUUUUGGGAAAAAACUCAGGUGAGAAGUGACUUUGAAGAACCUAUAAAAAAGCCCCGAUAAUCUGUCCCACGCGGUAGAAGUGGGGGCGCGUAUUCGGAAUAAUAGAGAAAAACGAGCAGGGAGUCUUAAGUUUAUGUAAAGACCACCGGUUGAACGGCGGGGGUCAUUGAAAGGCUAGAGUUUGUAGAGAGGAGAGAGUGCCAUUUCAUGCGAGCGAUGAAUACGCAGUGAUAUGGAGAGACACCCGCGAGGAGAGCGCCUUCUCUUAUGUAAUGACACGGAGGGGUAGAGAGUGGGAGAACACACGAGAUAGACCCUAGUGUGCACCGCGUAAGAGGUGAGAGCGGAGGUUAGAGCGUGUAUGCGCUUCUUCCGGAGAUAACGCGCGUAGUCGACUGCCCGGGGAGUGCGGCCGCACGGUUAGAAAUCACAUGAAUUGACGGGGGCCCGCACAAGCGGUGGAGGACGUGGUUUAAUUCGAUGCAACGCGGAGAACCUUUCCUACUCUUGACAUCCAUAGAACUUUCCAGAGAUGAAUUGGUGUCUUCGGGAACUCUGAGACAGGUGCUGCAUGGCUGUCGUCAGCUCGUGUUGUGAAAUGUUGGGGUAAGUCCCGCAACGAGCGCAACCCUUAUCCUUUGUUGCCAGCGGUCCGGCCGGGAACUCAAAGGAGACUGCCAGUGAUAAACUGGAGGAAGGUGGGGAUGACGUCAAGUCAUCAUGGCCCUUACGAGUAGGGCUACACACGUGCUACAAUGGCGCAUACAAAGAGAAGCGAACUCGCGAGAGCAAGCGGACCUCAUAAAGUGCGUCGUAGUCCGGAUUGGAGUCUGCAACUCGACUCCAUGAAGUCGGAAUCGCUAGUAAUCGUAGAUCAGAAUGCUACGGUGAAUACGUUCCCGGGCCUUGUACACACCGCCCGUCACACCAUGGGAGUGGGUUGCAAAAGAAGUAGGUAGCUUAACCUUCGGGAGGGCGCUUACCACUUUGGAUUCAUGACUGGGGGAAGUCGUAGCAACGAACCAGGGCCGA